AUGAGGCUCUUAAGUCUAGGAUAUGGUUGCAAGUCAAGGUUAAUGCACCAUUUUAACGUCACAAACCAAGUUUAGGGUUUCAAUUUAGACUUUCAAGCCAAGGAUGCGGUUUCAAAUAAGGAUUAGGGUUUAAAGUCAGGGUUAGGGUUUGAAAUCAGGGUUUCAAGCCUCGGUUAGAUUUUCAAACAAGAGUUAGGGUUUUAAGUCUGAUGGGUUGACAGUGUAUCUCUGCCUCUAAUGAAACGUUUGCUUUCCCUGCCAGAAGGUGGCAGUGGUUGUCUUGUGCAUCCCCAUAAACCUCUCGGUCUUUCUCAUCUGGUCCGGUGUCAAGGGAUAAUAUUAAGGACAGGCAGGCGGGACGCAGCGAAGGACAUCCAGAUGACAACACUACUGGGCAGGAAGGGAAGCGGAGGGAGGAUAAGCGGGAUGGUGGUGUGAUGGCAGAGGGAGCCCCAGACGUCACAUCUGCCACUAAAAUGUCCCAUGGCCUCCAGGGCAUGGGAACCUUGGUCCUUUCACCCCUUCCCCCCCCAUCCAAAGUCAGACACAAUUCCAAAUUUAGCUGUGAAACCGGAGUGCCUGGAAAAAACCCACGCAAGCACGGGGAGAACAUGCAAACUCCACACAGGCGGGCCUGGGGAUUGAACCUCGGUCCUCAGAAAUAUGAGGCAGACGCUCUAACCAUUUGUUCACCGUGCCGCCCCCGCUAGAAGUCAGCCUAGUUUAAAGCCACGACAAUACAGAGACAUUUAUUUGUGAAGUUCAAAUCUAGAAUGACGAGUGCUGGGUUUAUGGGUUGGUUUGUCCCUGUUGUGACAUUCCAGCGAAGGUCACUAGUGGCCUCAUUAUGUCUAAAGAUAGAACUCACUGUGUGUCUACUUUUUUUCCUUUGGUCUUCAGUUCCAGGGGUUGAUGCUUUGUCAAACACUGAAAAACACAUUUAAGCAAAAAUGCUAACAGCUGAAGGCGCCAAAUGCAAAUGUCCUGCUGAGUAUUUGUUUGUUGCUGCUUAAACUGUUAUCUACAACAAUGUGCAAAUGCGGCAGGGGAAAAGUUGCAAAGAGUCUGCGAGAUUUGUGUGGACUUUCACACGGAAACACUCAUGCUGUUUCCUGAUGUCAGAGCCUCUUUCCCAGGCUCCUGAGGAAUUUGCUUGGGAAACAAAAACGAUAGGGGUUUGCAUCAGAAGUGGAAAAAUUACCCAGUACCGAUUUUUUUGUGUAAGAAAAAGACUCUGGUAAAAGUAGAAGUACAGGUUCAAAAGAUUUAAAAGUAGAAGUACAGAUUCAACUCCUUAACUAGUAAAAGUGUUGGGAAGUAAAGUAAGCAUGACUUUGUUACUGUACUUAUAGAUUUUUCAUGUAUCAGUACUUUAUGUGUAUACUAUAUGAGUUUUUGGAGAUAUUAGCUGUCGUUCGUCUGAUUAUUUUACUUCGACUUGUGAGUAAAUAUUUGAGAUACGAGAGCUAUAUGGUGGCAGUGAACUCAACACACCUUUUUUCGCAACAAGCAGCAGUUUAGCAGAUAGUGAACAAGUUUUCAAAAAAGAGGCAACCUGUUUAAAAAAAAAAGCCUUAGAUGGUACUUAUAAGCCUUUAAGCCAGGAGUGUCAAACUCAUUUUUGUCACGGGCCACAUCGUAGUUAUGACUUCCCUCGGAGGGCCGCUACAACUGCGAACCCAUAUAAAUGAAAGAUUACCUCAUAUACUGUAAUUACAUACAGUAUACACAUCACACUGAUGAAUAACCAGUUUUGAAAUUAGAAGCCUAUAAAAACAUAUUUUUCGAUGAUUACAUUUCUUUUCAAAGUGGGGUUGGUAACAAAAAAAUGCUAGCAAAUAUCUCAAUGGUAUUACACCAGAACACAAUGAGCAAUUUUUAUUUGCUUUCGCGGGCCACAUAAGAUGAUGUGGCGCGCCGGGUCUUGUCCCCGGGCCACCAGUUUGACACCUGUGCUUUAAGCAAUGGAUAUUUGAAGACAAAUGGUGCAGCAACACAUGUAAACAGACAAUAUAACAAUACUUACAGUCAUAUAUUCUUUAUCCACUGUGAAAAACGACCAUUACUGGAGCUUACUGAGUCACUUAGAGUCGUUGUGAAACUCUUCUUCAUUCGUGUCUGCAUGACUGUAUUGUACUGACUCCCGGUGUCCAAGUCCCGCACACCAGAGGGAGUCGCAAUUAGUUAAUCAUGAUGCACAAACUGAUUAAUUCGUUACAUUCCAUGUAAUUACUAUAUGUUUUUAUGAAGUAAAAUAUAGAGUGCUAUUUUCCUUAUUAAAACAUAUUACACAAUUUUUUUAUUAGUCUUUUUGGGAGGAGGCUAGAGAUACAAGUGUUUUGAGUCACAAGCCCGGUCAGGGAACAAAUUAAACUUGUAUCUCAGGCACCAUUGUACUCAAGUAAAGUACAGAUAUCUGAAAAAUCUACUGAAGUAUUGUAACAAAGUAUUUAUAUUUGGUUACUUCGAGAGGUGCAACAAUUAAUAGAACAACUAAUCAAUUAUCAAAUUAAUCGACAACUAUUUUGAUAAUCGAUUAAUCGUUUAGAGCCAUUGUUUAACUUAAAAUUGUCCAAACCCUCUCCUUUUAGCCUCUGAACAUUAAAAUAGUAUGUAAAAAGUCUGAUUUCUUAUAGUCCACCAUGAAAGCAGACAGAUUAUGUUGAAUCAAAGAUUGUUUUGUUGUUUAUUUGGUUUUGUUUAAUCAUUCAACAGUACCAAAUAAACAACAAUAAUCAUUUAAUAAACAGUAAUUGAGGAAAAUUUUUUAUUUUGCAAUAAACUUUAAUGCAAAAAAGAUUUUUAUCUGAUUUCUUGAUUAAUCGAUGGAAUAAACGAUAGAAUUAUUGAUUCUAAAAAUGUUCGAUAGUGGUAGGCCUACUUACUUCCCGCCACUGGUGUGCGUGGUAAACAAUGGGAACAAUGAGGUUGGGACAAACGGGCACUUAAACGGGAUGACUGGUGUGAGGUCUCACAGGGACCUGACGGCAACUACCUAAUGAGAACGAGCAACUCUCCCUAGGCCCAGUUAACACACUGUCGCACAAAGUCAGCGUUUGCUUAGUCAGCGGGAACGUCAUGCGCCAAACGCACAUUACGUGGGAAACUGAUGGCGGGUUGGAUGAGAGUUAAAGAGGUGUGAACCUACAGUACUUAUGUAUACAGAUUUGAUUGCACACGCAAAAAUAAACAAGUUUAACAAACCGGUACUAAUGGGUCUGGGGCUCCUUUGCGACAUCUGGCACAGAAGAAAAUUGACUUUUUGGAAAAUCACUUCAGCUCUGUGAUGAAAUGCAAAAAUGAAGUAUACGAAGAAAACAAUGUCACUGGAGCAAAACAUGGAGGAGGCUCACCUAUGUUUCUGGGGCUGCUUUGUACAAAUGUACAAAGUACAUGCUAGGUGUACUAAGCAAAGGAAAAACGGAAGCUUGAACUUUGGAGGUUGUUUUCCAUUUGUGGUUGAACAAAUACAAGUCAGUGGGUGUGUACCUAAUGUUUACGUCAACUGAUGUAACUAUGUGUUGAAAACCUGCAAUCACCUGUUUUUUUCUGAAAGAUUUAAUUUCGACUUUAUGAUGCCACCCACCUUCAUUUGAAAAAGUUCCCACCAUGUCACUUUUGCCUUUCUUGAGAUAUUUAAGCAGCUUACUUUGGCAAGCUGAGCCUUAAAUAGAUGUUUGCUUUUAACAACAGGAUCAGGACUGGUGAGCACAGGACUAUCGUUUGUCAUUUGUCUGUUUUGGAAAGUGAAAGCUCAAGUUUGUCCUUGACAGGUUUUUGUUGUUGUUGUUUGUUUGUUUUGUUUUGUUUUUUAGCUUCCGAAGAUAAGCCUGGCUAACAUAUGGACGGACAAAAGUAUUUUUGUUCUGUUUUUGUUGCCAUUCUGGUUAGCUUGGAAGCCGGUAUAGAGCAACCUUUUGUGAGCAAAAGCAGUGUAAGUUGGUUCUUUUAUGACUGUCCAUCUACUUGUGAUGUUCUUUAAGAGGAGCGCUGAGUGAAGACGUUGACUGCUAUGUUAGCUUCUCACGCUAGCCGCGAGCUAGAUAGCCAGCCACUGUUUUUAUUUUUUAUUCUGGUGUAUUGGUCCUGUUUGUGUUCCCAUUCCCAAAUAUAUCCUGAUUUACACGUGUUUUUUAAAAAUAUUGUGUGUGCAUUCAUCAUGGCUUAUCAUUUGUAAUUAUUCAAUUCUUAAAUUUUUGGAUUUGAAAAACGUGUGUAAAUCACGGAUAUAUUUGUGGAUCUGAAAAAUGUGUAAAUCACGGAUAUACAGUAUUACGGAUCUGAAAAAUGUGUAAAUCGCGGAUAUAUUUGUGUGAAUAAUUUUGAGACAAAUCUUUCCCCAUACCUAGAACCUAGCUAGAUAGCCAUCGACAGGUUUUAUUUUGGUCCUGUUUUAGUUCCCAUUACCACUGGCUUAGUAGGACUCUCAGGAUUUAUUUAUUAUCAAUUUUCCUAAAUAUAAUUGAUUUUAAAGGAAAAUGUUGUUUUGUGGUCAACCUUGCUUAUUUAAGGUACCGCUGUAGUUAAAUGACAUUUAA